CUCUGCAGAAGUGCGAUUAUUUGAUGCGUUCGGGAAGUGUUCUGGAGAGGAAGAUUGAAGCCUGACUGCAACCCGUCCCGCUCUGUGGCCUUGGCAGGACUUCGAAGGGGAAGCUGGCUGCAAAAGUAUCUACACAGCUUUUUCGCUGAACUGGAGCUCGCAGACGUUCUCCUUGUGCCAGGUGAGCUUCUACACGAACCAUCUCCUGAAAACCUAUUAAUCUCUGUCAGUGGCGGUGCAGAGAGUGCAUCCGGGUAUAAGUCCAGUGUGGUAAGGGCUUUUGUGAAGGUUCGCCUUUUGCACCAUACAUCAGCCUCAUCCAAUGCUCAGGACUGUUAUUUGUUGGAAGCAAAUACACGGCCACACUUCGGUAUGUCUUCGCAAAUGCGCGGAUUGUAGAGGGUCUCCGGUGUCCCAACAGUCACUGAGAUCACAAUUCGAUGCUGGAGAGUGUGGUAACAGAGAGUAAUGCUGGGAUUAAAGUGUCAAUGCCUUGUCGAUUGACCAACACACUGGCUAUAAUAAAUCGCGCCUAGAGAAGAGGGCGCACAAGGGGUUUUCAGUGGCAGAAGUAGGCGUGCACAAGUUGUGAAGGUCAUCUUCUGGCUUUGCGGUGUUUGAUGCGUACAAACUAUGGAUUCGAAGAAACGCCUUUACAUAUCAUUUUAAAGGCUUAAAAGCUUCCAAGCGGCCCUAAUGCUUCCUUUUCUUGCUGGAAGAGAUAAGCAGGCAAGCCAGUGUUUAAGUAUACUACGUAGUAAGGAGUGCACCAUUACAUGAGUUCAUCCAGCGUCCACGAUUGGCAGAGAUUAUUUCAAGUAAAUAGAGCAAGCUUGGAGCUGCACCUGUCAUGUGCACUGACACAUGCCUUUGGUAUGGCAGGAGGUGUGCGACUUGCCUAAUGGAGUUGUUCUCAUGGAUAGUCACCAAACCAGGAAAUAGGGAAGCUUGAAAGAGUGGAAGUGGAGGGAUCACCUUGAACCUCCAACAUGGGAAGACUUAAUGGCCAUCGCAAUGGCUACUUGCCAAAGGAGAAUGGAUUUGAGGCAACACUUGUCAAUCGCACGGGUUCCAUGCCAGAAAUGAAUGGCUCUCUGAAGCAGGUGAGGAUGGUGUAUGUCUUCACGGACAUUGCCAUGACCUGUGUCACCUUUUAGACCUUUUCGUAUAUGGACUCAGCCCCAUAUUUGAUGUCUGAUCUUCUCUAUAAAUGUGCAGGAAUAUGAUGUUGCUUCUCUGAUGGAGGGUGAUGACAGACAGCGCUUUCUGCAGCGCAUCUCAGCUGGCAGUCAGG
rnacentral:lncRNA from 1 species